rnacentral:rRNA from 1 species
GACGAACGCUGGCGGCGUGCUUAACACAUGCAAGUCGAACGCUGAAGCUUGGUGCUUGCACUGGGUGGAUGAGUGGCGAACGGGUGAGUAAUACGUGAGUAACCUGCCCUUGACUCUGGGAUAAGCCUGGGAAACUGGGUCUAAUACUGGAUACGACAUGUCACCGCAUGGUGGUGUGUGGAAAGGGUUUUACUGGUUUUGGAUGGGCUCACGGCCUAUCAGCUUGUUGGUGGGGUAAUGGCUCACCAAGGCGACGACGGGUAGCCGGCCUGAGAGGGUGACCGGCCACACUGAGACUGAGACACGGCCCAGACUCCUACGGGAGGCAGCAGUGGGGAAUAUUGCACAAUGGGCGGAAGCCUGAUGCAGCGACGCCGCGUGAGGGAUGACGGCCUUCGGGUUGUAAACCUCUUUCAGCACGGAAGAAGCGAAAGUGACGGUACGUGCAGAAGAAGCGCCGGCUAACUACGUG